rnacentral:rRNA from 1 species
AGGACGAACGCUGGCGGCGUGCCUAACACAUGCAAGUCGAACGGGGCCAGGGGCAACUCUGGUUCAGUGGCGGACGGGUGCGUAACACGUGAGGAACAUGUCUUUCGGUGGGGAUAGCCGGCCCAACGGCCGGGUAAUACCGCAUACGCUGACCUGGGUGCAUACCCGGGUUCGGAAAGCAGCAAUGCGCCGAUUGAGUGCCUCGCGGCCUAUCAGCUAGUUGGUGAGGUAAUGGCUCACCAAGGCGACGACGGGUAGCUGGUCUGAGAGGAUGGCCAGCCACAUUGGGACUGAGACACGGCCCAGACUCCGUACGGAGGCAGCAGUGGGAAUAUUGCGCAAUGGGCAAAGCCUGACGCAGCGACGUCCGCGUGUGGGAUGGACGGCCUUCGGUUGUAAACCACGUGUACGGAGGACGAAGAUCGUGACGUACCUCCAAAGGAAGCCGAACCGGUCUAAACGUUCGUACGUCGACCGAGCGUAACGCCCGAC